CCUCCUUUGUUCCUCCUUUCUUCCUCUUUUUCCCUUUUCUGCCGCCUGCCCCCGCCACGUAGCGUGCAGGAUGAAGGCCCUACGGGUCGUAAACCGCUUUUGCACGGGGAUAACACCCUCCACUUGUGGAGGUCUGCAGGUACCGUGCGAAUAAGGGCCGGCUAAUUCCGUGCCAGCAGCCGCGGUAAUACGGAAGGCCCGAGCGUUAUCCGGAUUCAUUGGGCUUAAAGGGAGCGUAGGCGGGCGUUCAAGGCAGCUGUAAAAUCGCGCGGCUCAACCGCGCCCCGCAGUUGAAACUGGACGCCUUGAGUUCACAACAGGCAGGCGGAAUUCGUGGUGUAGCGGUGAAAUGCAUAGAUAUCACGAGGAACCCCGAUUGCGAAGGCAGCCUGCCGGGGUGCGACUGACGCUGAGGCUCGAAGGUGCGGGUAUCAAACAGGAUUAGAUACCCUAGUAGUC
rnacentral:rRNA from 1 species